CGACGGGCUGCCGGCGAAGGGACGGCGCCGCUCCGCGCGUCCUUUUGAAGUCGACGGGGGCGGGCACCGCGGAGCUGCGGAGGCCGGCGGAGGCCGACCGAGGACCCCGAGAGGAGGGAGCCGCGGCGGCGCGCGGGGUCUGUGUCCCAAAGCUCGGCAGAUGAGCGAACUUAGCCAGCACACCCCAGGCCGUGAAGCAGGGGGGUGAAGCGGGGAGAGCCACAAGCCUCACCUGGGUCUUCCCAGCUGGACGUUCUUGUGGAGCAGCACUGAGCAGCGGUCAGGAGUGUCAUGGACUUUGUAUUCAAACAGCCCCAGCUCCUCUGCUUGCUAGCUGGGUGUCUUUGGGCAAAUUACUUAAUAUCUCGAAAAUCUGUUUCCUCAUUCCUAAAAUGCGAGGCUGAAAGUGAUCAUGCCUAUAAAGCCAUCUCAUAUCCAUGGUUCUAGAGCAUGGGUCUUGCUGUCUCACCCAGGUUGGAGUGCAAUAGCGUGAUCUUGGCUCACUACAACCUCUGCCUCCUGGAUUCAAGUGAUUCUCCUGCCUCAGCCUCCCAAGUAGUUGGGAUUACAGGUGGAUAAUUUUUUGUAUUUUUAGUAGAGAUGGGGCCAUGUUGGCCAGGCUGGUGUCGAACUCCUGACCUCAGGCAAUCCACCUGCCUCCACCUCCCAAAGUGCUGGGAUUACAGGUCUGAGCCACCAUGCUCAGCCUGGACAUGAUUUUUUUUUUUUUUUUUUUAAUGUAGUCACAUACUUCAUUUUAUUUUUUGAGAUGGAGUCUCACUCUGUCUUCCAGGCUGGAGUGCAGUGGUGUGAUCUUGGCUCACUGCAACCUACACCUCUUGGGUUCAAGCGAUUCUCCUGCCUUAGCCUCCAGAGUAGCUGUGACGACAGGUGUACACCACCACGCCUGGCUAGUUUUUAUAUUUUCAGUAGAGACAAAGUUUACCUUGUUGGCCAGGCUGGUUCAAACUCCUGAGCUCAAGUGAUCCACCCAGCUCAGCCUCCCAAAGUGCUGGGAUUGCAGGCGUGAGCCACUGAGCCUGGCCAACAUACCUCAUUUAAGAAGUGUAAACAUACAGAAAAAUAGGAUCCAAUAUGCACAUGCUUAGCACCCAGUCUGGUGUAAAAUAAAGACUAUUGUAAGCAGUAUGCAUAUUAUGCUCUUUGGUGUGCGCUCUCUAUCUGGAUGUCAUGUCUCAAGUUCUCUGCGUGUCUUACCUAAUCUGUCAGUCUGUCCUUCAAACUGCUGGAGGGCAGGGAAUGGAGGAUGCUCUUGCAAUUAAUUCUGUAUAAAGAGGCAUACACAUAGAUGUUUAAUGAAGCCUUGUGGUGGUGAACUACCCAGUGUUCUCCAAGGAUUAAAUGCUAAACAUCAGAAACUGCAACAGCCAUCCUUUUGUCAACAGACCUCAAGGGGCCUCAGGGGAGAGGACAGAAGACAUUCACCUCCACCCAGUUUUAUUGGCCUUCAGCCCCAUCUUGUGCUGCUGCCAGGAUCACAGUUUUUCCCCUGGACAACAUUACCAUUUUGUCAGUCAGGGUAAACAAGCUGUUCCCUAAAUGGCACUAUCCACCCUAGGUAAGCAUACUGGCCCUUUCCCCUGCCUCCUUGGGGCCCUCAGUAGAGCCGUAUGCAAGCUAAGUGCCAACCUCACAAUUUAGCAAAAUUUUCUACUUCAGGUGUGCCUCUAUUGCAGCAGUUACUGCUUGUCUGCCCCACCAGACCAUAAGUCCCUAGAAGUCUCUGGCACAUGCCAAAGAGGACCAGUCUCCUGAGGAGAGGAGGGAAAGCCCUGGAGAAAAAAGGGCUGAGGGCCUUGUGCAGCUAGGGGCCUCCGUUGCCAGCACUUUCCCUGUAUCACUCCCAGCAGUGAUUCUGAAUGCCAAGGGAGUAAAACACCUUUUAGGAGAGCUAUGAAAAGGGACAGGCAGUAGUGCUUUUAUUUGAAGAGCAACUCUCCUCUCGGGAAAUGCAAGCUUCUCUCCAUUACUGCUGUACAGAGUAGAGAUCCUUUGAAGAUGAUCCUUUUUUUUUUUUUUGAGACUGGGUCUCACUCUGUUGCCCAGGCUGGAGUGCAAUGGUGUGAUGAAAGUCCACUGCAGCCUUGAUUUGGGCUCAAGAUAUCCUCCUGCUUCAGCCUCUGGAGUGGCUGGGGCUACAGGCAUGUGCUACCACAUCCAGAUAAUUUUUUAUUUUUUGUAGAGAUGGGGUCUUGCUUUGUCACCCAGGCUGACCUUGCUGAAGCAAUCCUCGAGCCUUGGCCUCCCAAAGCAAAGAUAAUGCUUUUUAAAGAGUAACAUCAGUCUGGCCAUCAUGAUGAAACUCCAUCUCUACAAAAAAUACAAAAAUUAGCCAGGCAUGGUGGCGGGUGCCUGUAAUCCAGCUAUUCGGGAAGAUGAGGCAGGAGAAUUGCUUGAACCUGGGAGGUGGAGGUUGCAGUGAGACAAGAACUCCAGAGACUGAGGCAAU